UGGAGCUGAAAUCAGUCGAAGAUACCAGCUGGCUGCAACUGUUUAUUAAAAACACAGCACUGUGCAAACACGAAAGUGGACGUAUACGGUGUGACGCCUGCCCGGUGCCGGAAGGUUAAUUGAUGGGGUUAUCCGUAAGGAGAAGCUCUUGAUCGAAGCCCCGGUAAACGGCGGCCGUAACUAUAACGGUCCUAAGGUAGCGAAAUUCCUUGUCGGGUAAGUUCCGACCUGCACGAAUGGCGUAAUGAUGGCCAGGCUGUCUCCACCCGAGACUCAGUGAAAUUGAACUCGCUGUGAAGAUGCAGUGUACCCGCGGCAAGACGGAAAGACCCCGUGAACCUUUACUAUAGCUUGACACUGAACACUGGUCCUUGAUGUGUAGGAUAGGUGGGAGGCUUUGAAGUGUGGACGCCAGUCUGCAUGGAGCCAUCCUUGAAAUACCACCCUUUAAUGGCUGGUGUUCUAACGUGGGCCCGUAAUCCGGGUUGCGGACAGUGUCUGGUGGGUAGUUUGACUGGGGCGGUCUCCUCCCAAAGAGUAACGGAGGAGCACGAAGGUUAGCUAAUCCUGGUCGGACAUCAGGAGGUUAGUGCAAAGGCAUAAGCUAGCUUGACUGCGAGAGUGACGGCUCGAGCAGGUGCGAAAGCAGGUCUUAGUGAUCCGGUGGUUCUGAAUGGAAGGGCCAUCGCUCAACGGAUAAAAGGUACUCCGGGGAUAACAGGCUGAUACCGCCCAAGAGUUCAUAUCGACGGCGGUGUUUGGCACCUCGAUGUCGGCUCAUCACAUCCUGGGGCUGAAGUAGGUCCCAAGGGUAUGGCUGUUCGCCAUUUAAAGUGGUACGCGAGCUGGGUUUAGAACGUCGUGAGACAGUUCGGUCCCUAUCUGCCGUGGGCGCUGGAGAAUUGAGGGGGGCUGCUCCUAGUACGAGAGGACCGGAGUGGACGCAUCACUGGUGUUCGGGUUGUCAUGCCAAUGGCACUGCCCGGUAGCUAAAUGCGGAAGAGAUAAGUGCUGAAAGCAUCUAAGCACGAAACUUGCCCCGAGAUGAGUUCUCCCUGACCCUUUAAGGGUCCUGAAGGAACGUUGAAGACGACGACGUUGAUAGGUCGGGUGUGUAAGUGUAGCGAUACAUUGAGCUAACCGAUACUAAUGAACCGUGAGGCUUAACCUU
rnacentral:rRNA from 1 species